GUGGGGAAUAUUGGACAAUGGGCGAAAGCCUGAUCCAGCCAUGCCGCGUGUGUGAAGAAGGUCUUCGGAUUGUAAAGCACUUUAAGUUGGGAGGAAGGGCAGUAAGUUAAUACCUUGCUGUUUUGACGUUACCGACAGAAUAAGCACCGGCUAACUUCGUGCCAGCAGCCGCGGUAAUACGAAGGGUGCAAGCGUUAAUCGGAAUUACUGGGCGUAAAGCGCGCGUAGGUGGUUUUGUAAGUUGGAGGUGAAAUCCCCGGGCUCAACCUGGGAACUGCCUCCAAAACUGCAUGACUAGAGUACGGUAGAGGGUAGUGGAAUUUCCUGUGUAGCGGUGAAAUGCGUAGAUAUAGGAAGGAACACCAGUGGCGAAGGCGACUACCUGGACUGAUACUGACGCUGAGGUGCGAAAGCGUGGGGAGCAAACAGGAUUAGAAACCCGUGUAGUCC
rnacentral:rRNA from 1 species